rnacentral:rRNA from 1 species
GCUGGAGGUAUCAGAAGUGCGAAUGCUGACAUAAGUAACGAUAAAGCGGGUGAAAAGCCCGCUCGCCGGAAGACCAAGGGUUCCUGUCCAACGUUAAUCGGGGCAGGGUGAGUCGACCCCUAAGGCGAGGCCGAAAGGCGUAGUCGAUGGGAAACGGGUUAAUAUUCCCGUACUUGGUGUUACUGCGAAGGGGGGACGGAGAAGGCUAUGUUGGCCGGGCGACGGUUGUCCCGGUUUAAGCGUGUAGGUGUGUGUUCCAGGUAAAUCCGGUUCACUUUAACACUGAGGCGUGACGACGAGGCACUACGGUGCUGAAGCAACAAAUGCCCUGCUUCCAGGAAAAGCCUCUAAGCAUCAGGUAACAUCAAAUCGUACCCCAAACCGACACAGGUGGUCAGGUAGAGAAUACCAAGGCGCUUGAGAGAACUCGGGUGAAGGAACUAGGCAAAAUGGUGCCGUAACUUCGGGAGAAGGCACGCUGACAUGUAGGUGAAGUGAUUUACUCAUGGAGCUGAAGUCAGUCGAAGAUACCAGCUGGCUGCAACUGUUUAUUAAAAACACAGCACUGUGCAAACACGAAAGUGGACGUAUACGGUGUGACGCCUGCCCGGUGCCGGAAGGUUAAUUGAUGGGGUCAGCGCAAGCGAAGCUCCUGAUCGAAGCCCCGGUAAACGGCGGCCGUAACUAUAACGGUCCUAAGGUAGCGAAAUUCCUUGUCGGGUAAGUUCCGACCUGCACGAAUGGCGUAAUGAUGGCCAGGCUGUCUCCACCCGAGACUCAGUGAAAUUGAACUCGCUGUGAAGAUGCAGUGUACCCGCGGCAAGACGGAAAGACCCCGUGAACCUUUACUAUAGCUUGACACUGAACAUUGAGCCUUGAUGUGUAGGAUAGGUGGGAGGCUUUGAAGUGUGGACGCCAGUCUGCAUGGAGCCGACCUUGAAAUACCACCCUUUAAUGUUUGAUGUUCUAACGUGGACCCGUGAUCCGGGUUGCGGACAGUGUCUGGUGGGUAGUUUGACUGGGGCGGUCUCCUCCUAAAGAGUAACGGAGGAGCACGAAGGUUGGCUAAUCCUGGUCGGACAUCAGGAGGUUAGUGCAAUGGCAUAAGCCAGCUUGACUGCGAGCGUGACGGCGCGAGCAGGUGCGAAAGCAGGUCAUAGUGAUCCGGUGGUUCUGAAUGGAAGGGCCAUCGCUCAACGGAUAAAAGGUACUCCGGGGAUAACAGGCUGAUACCGCCCAAGAGUUCAUAUCGACGGCGGUGUUUGGCACCUCGAUGUCGGCUCAUCACAUCCUGGGGCUGAAGUAGGUCCCAAGGGUAUGGCUGUUCGCCAUUUAAAGUGGUACGCGAGCUGGGUUUAGAACGUCGUGAGACAGUUCGGUCCCUAUCUGCCGUGGGCGCUGGAGAACUGAGGGGGGCUGCUCCUAGUACGAGAGGACCGGAGUGGACGCAUCACUGGUGUUCGGGUUGUCAUGCCAAUGGCACUGCCCGGUAGCUAAAUGCGGAAGAGAUAAGUGCUGAAAGCAUCUAAGCACGAAACUUGCCCC